UACGUAGGGUGCAAGCGUUGUCCGGAAUUAUUGGGCGUAAAGAGCUCGUAGGCGGUCUGUUGCGUCGGCUGUGAAAACCCGGGGCUCAACUCCGGGCCUGCAGCCGAUACGGGCAGACUAGAGGUAGGUAGGGGAGAUCGGAAUUCCUGGUGUAGCGGUGAAAUGCGCAGAUAUCAGGAGGAACACCGGUGGCGAAGGCGGAUCUCUGGGCCUUACCUGACGCUGAGGAGCGAAAGCAUGGGGAGCAAACAGG
rnacentral:rRNA from 1 species